UGCCGCGGAUGCGGCCCUAAAAAGCAAAAACAAAAACCCUAAAAAAAACCUUAAAAAAAUUAUAACUACCUCCCCAGCUAGAUUGUGUGUUUCUGAGGGUAGGGACUGUCCUUUCACCCCUUUGUUUCUCUGGUUCCUCAUGGCUCAGUAACAAGAUGUUACUGUCGAGGAUGAUGCUGAUGGUGGCAGCGAUGAUGGUGGAUGGAAAUGGGGCUGGUAGUGAGUGAGCCCCCUGCCUACAGCUGCUCCCAGCCUGCCUCCUGGAAAACAAGGUCAUGGUGAUGGCCCAGUGUGACCUGGAGGAGCUUUCCUCCUUGUAGAAGAGCUUCUUGAUUUGGGAGACGCUCAGGGGAGCCUGUGCCUCUGGCCUAGGUAUCCCAAAGGGCUUCUCCAGCCCUGAGGAUGCAGAGGCAGCAGCUCCCUGCCCCUCCUCCUGGGGCCUGCAUUCUGGCGAGGCCCCCGCCCAUCGACACACUCCUCCCCAGCUGGGGCCCUGGGCUCUGCGGGUCUGGGUGGGGAGGAAGUGGGAAGGAGGAGGGCUUCCCACCCAGCCUCUGCAGCUCUGGUGAAAAACGAUGUGGUCCUUCCUAUAAGUUCAGAAAUCCCAUCCCCACAGAGGCAGGGACCAGGUGGAGCUGACCACCCCGAGGGCAGCCUAGCGGGAUGGUCUGGACCUGGGAGCCGCCUUGGAGGUGCCUGCAGCCACAGGGCCUGGACUGUGACGUCUCAGUUGACCUGAAAUCAGAGUCCUACCAUCUGAGAGGGCCAGAGGUGGGGGCUGUGGGCCGUGCUCUCUGCAGCUUCCUCAAAUAACCAAGGACACGAUGAACUCUUUAUAUUUUAAGGACAUUAACUGUUUGCCUAUCACAGUCAUUCAGAAAGAAUUUUUUCAAAUAAAGAAGAAAACACGUCCAUUUUUAUAGAUGAAUAAACCAAAAACUCAGUGAGAAAGGUGGAUUAUCCAAGGUCACCCAACUGGCAGGUGAUCUAGUUGGGAUUUGAACACAAGUCAUACUGGCUCCAGAAGUCUCAAUCAGAAGAAAAAAAAAAAAGAAGAAGAAGAAGAAGAAAGAAGAGGAAGAGGAAGAAAAGGAGUGGAGAUGGUAACAGUAACUUUGGAAGCCUUAGGUGUGGAACUUGACUAUGUUCUGUGGGAUGAGUAGAAGUCAGCUGUUGGUGGGGUUGGGGACACAUUCGGAGGAGGAGGAACACCUUGCUGGAGUCAUGGAAGCCAGGAAGGGUCCUGGCCUGGUGCCAGCUGUGCACCUUUCCAUUCGCUGACUUCAAGUUUAGGGACAUGCUCCAGCAUCUGUUUUCUCUUCAUGACCCUUCAGAAGACUCCCUCCAGAAUUUACCCAUUUCCUCUCCAAACCCAUGUGCAUCCACACAACCUGUGCUAUGUCCUCACCUCUAUGUUCCCAGGGCUUUGAGGGGCCCCUUGUGAUCUCUUGCACUGAUUACAUCUAUUUAGAGAUGGGAGAUGCCUUGGUGGCAACAUCCUCAGCAGAGUUCAGGAUCUGAGGACUUCUUUGAUUCUCUUUUCUUACCCAGUUACAUUUGUUCCAAUCCACAUUUCUACUGAUCCUUGCUGAUUGGCUGGGAAAGAAAGGGGAAGAGGAAGGAGAAGAAGGAAAAAGAAAGAAGACUGGAUUGUUGAUCUCCUUAGGAUGGGUACACAUGGUCGUCUAAUUAGUGUAUAAGCUCCUUAACUUCUAUGCAGCCUCUCUAUCUCUGCCUUUCUCUUUACCAGGUACAGGGCCCUCAUGGAGACAGAGCUCAAUAAGAGCUUGUGGGUGACUUAAGGGGAUUCAUACUCUGUCCAAAAGGUGUCUGCUCUCCUCCCUAGGAGGGAAGAGAGGUAAAAACGAUAGAUAAAUGUAGUAGUUGCAUCUUGCAUUCUAUGAUCAGAUGGAUGCCCUUGGAGCGAGGCUAGGAGCAGGGAAGGGGGAGGUGGUUUAGGAAGGAGGAAGAGGAGAGGCCCCUUGCUCCUUGCCCUCUCCUUUCUCAUGGCUCCAUCUGGACCCAUCCUUAGGGAGCGUGGAAAUGCUUAUAAUUUCAUCUUGGCAGUCAACUUCACUGUAGAAAAUGGAUGGAAACUUGAAGGUUGUGAAGCCUUUGUAAAAGCAAGGAUGGAAGGGUAGAGAAGCCACCAUAUCCAUGGAGGUGGGGAGAUGAAGUUCUUCAGGAUCGACAGAAAAGGGUGAAAAGCCCUGGAAAUUGUAAUUUUACAGGUAACCUUAAGAGAACAAUCUUUCAGUUUUUAAUUUCUUUAAAAGACCAUUAUCUAAAGCAACAACAGCAGUAAUAUAGGGCUUCUAACAUCUCAGGGUAUAAAAUAUAUGAACACAGUAGAACAAAGGAUGGGGGAUGGUAAAAGGGAAUCAUACUGGUUUAAGUUCUUCUAUGUGCUAAGGAUGCAAAUUGUAAUCCCUAGUACAAAUAAUUCAAGAAUAAAAUAGAUUUAGCUAAAAAGUCCCAAAAGUCAGUAAAAUGGAAUAUUAAGAUGUAAGUGAUUAAUCCAAAAGAGGGCCAAAAAAAGGAACAAGGAACCAAGGGGACAAAUAGAAAAUAAAUGACAGUACUUAUUAAUUGUAAUAUUAUCCACAAAGGGGAGGAAGGGAAGGGAAGAAAGUAGAUCUCUCUAAGGUCUUUCCCAGCUUUUGGUGUCCACACCACUGGUUUUAGUCCACACUCCCCUGUCUGCAUCUACUAGUGGAACUGAGGCAUCAUCAAGUUUUCUUAACAUCAGAGCUGGGAUGAGAGUGGGGUCAGCUGGUUCCUGGGUCUAAUCAUGGGCCCGUCAGGUAGAGGAGACCAUGGUUAUGGGUUUGUAAUUAGAGUAGCAAGUUCAGGUAAUGAUUAGGUUUGGAGUCAAAGAUAUUAUUUCUAUUAGUUAGGCCUGGGGUUAAGGCCAACUUAGAGUUGGCAACUGCUUGGAGUUCGUGCUGGAUUUGGUUUAUUGGUCCCAUCUGUAGUGUGGGAGAGGACUGGGCUUCAGGAAUAUUAGAUUGGGUGGGAUGGGCUGAUCCAGCAGGGCCCCUGCAAUCUCUCAGGGCAGUUAUUCACAUCCACUAGGUCUAUUCUUUCCCAUAGUUAAUAAGCUUUUUCUCUUUUAUCAAUGCAAUGCAACAUCCAUUGAUUUAAAAAGCCUUUGAUCACCUGCUAUGUAUCAGGCACCAUUCUAAGUGCUGGGGAUGCAGUGUGAACAAGACAAAAUCCCUGACCCUACCGAGCGGAUGUGCUGAGGGUGAUAAACAAACAUGAAUCCAGAGAAGAGAACCAGGCCAGCAGGUCAGAGUGAUCUGGAAGUCUGGGAAGAUCUUGUGAUUGAUGAGAAGGGACAGCAGGAGCAGAGGCCUGGAGGUGGGCAGAAUGAAGGCAGUGUGGCACCAGAAGUGGGCAGGAAAGGCGAAGAAGCACAGCUGUGCCAGGUAAGUCUCCUGGGCUGGAUUCCGGGGGAAGGUAGAAACAAGGGCGUGGCAGAGUCUCCCUUGAGAUCUAAAAGACAACUCUGGCUGCUGUGUGGAGAAUAGCCUGGAGCAGUGACAAGAAAACAAACAAACAAAAUGAAACAAAGGGCUAUGAGAUAGGAGCCCUGGAUUCCUCAGGGUGCUGUGUGAGAUCUCAGCUACUUCUUCGCUUAGGCUCUCUUCUGGCUGGCUGUCUGUAAAAUGCCAAGAGUGGGCUCUAUGCCACUUUAGUUAUAGAGACAUAGAGUCAGUGCUAGAUCAUUUUGAAAAGCUGCCCUUAGAGAACAAGGGCUCUAUGAAAGCAAAGGCUCCGGUAUCUUCUUGUCCCCUCGGUAUUUGAGACACUCAGUACAUUCAGUCAAUUAGGUGGAAUGGGUGUAAUAAUAACUUGAGUUCGUUUCCUCCAUGAACACUGUGGCUUCUGAGACGUCACUGGCACAAGAGCUGGUCGGUUACUUUGGUUCAAGAGGCCAGACUCAACUGAGUAGCCCCUUGUGCCAGCCAGAUCCGUUCCCUCCCUUCCCAGCCCAUGACCUGAUCAGACAGCUUUUAAUGGGGAGUCACCCGUCAGCGUGGGGGCCCCUCUGCAUGAGUGACCCUCCCCGCUGGGGAGCAAAAACAACCGCUAGGACUGAAGGCCAGCUUCCAGCUGCCCCACUGCUGAGUUGCUUCAUUUCUCCUCCAAGGCCAUCUCCCCUUAAGGAGGAGAGGGAUAAGAAUCUGGUCCUGGCUUCCUCACAGGGGGAAAGAGGAUCAACAGAAACCCCUGGGGAAAUGUCAGAGUGUGAGCUGUGUUGUUGCCACUGCAGCUGAGGGCACUACUCCUGUUGUCGGUGGGUUGGGAAAGAGCCUGUGACACAGGAGAAAGGUCUUUGUGCUCCUCCAGCCCUAGCCCUGCAGGCCCAAUCCCAACGGAAGGGCAUUGAAAAAAAAAAAAAAAAA